UUCUACGGCCGUGCCACCCUGAACAAGCCUAAUCCUGUCUGAUCUCGGAAGCUAAGCAGGGUCGGGCCUGGUUAGUACUUGGAUGGGAGACCACCUCGGAAGACCAGGUGCCGUAGCCG
rnacentral:rRNA from 1 species